GACGAACGCUGGCGGCGUGCUUAACACAUGCAAGUCGAACGGAAAGGCCCUGCUUUUGUGGGGUGCUCGAGUGGCGAACGGGUGAGUAACACGUGAGUAACCUGCCCUUGACUUUGGGUUAACUUCAGGAAACUGGGGCUAAUACCGGAUAGGAGCUCCUGCUGCAUGGUGGGGGUUGGAAAGUUUCGGCGGUUGGGGAUGGACUCGCGGCUUAUCAGCUUGUUGGUGGGGUAGUGGCUUACCAAGGCUUUGACGGGUAGCCGGCCUGAGAGGGUGACCGGCCACAUUGGGACUGAGAUACGGCCCAGACUCCUACGGGAGGCAGCAAUGGGGAAUAUUGCACAAUGGGCGGAAGCCUGAUGCAGCAACGCCGCGUGCUGGAUGACGGCCUUCGUGUUGUAAACCGCUUUCGCCUGUGACGAAGCGUGAGUGACGGUAAUGGGUAAAGAAGCACCGGCUAACUACGUG
rnacentral:rRNA from 1 species